AUAACAUACAAUAUAUACUAAUUACUACAAUACAAUAUACAAUGAAAUAUAUAUUAUAUAUACUAUACUAAUAACUAGUAUACUAUAUAAAUAUAUUCAAUAAUAGUAUAUUAUAUACUAUACUAAUAACUACUAUAUAAGAUAUUGCCUUAAACAAAAAAAAUUACAAAAAAAAAAUCCGCCAGGCCCACAAAGUCCGGCCCGCUAAGCCCAGUACCACAUGGGCUUAGGCCCAUCACGUGCUGGUCUCACCCAUUUAGC
rnacentral:lncRNA from 1 species